rnacentral:rRNA from 1 species
UACGGAGGGUGCAAGCGUUGCUCGGAAUUAUUGGGCGUAAAGGGUAGGUAGGUGGUCUCAUUUGUCUGGGGUGAAAGCCUUGAGCUUAACUCAAGAAGUGCCCCAGAAACGGUGAGACUAGAGUCCUGGAGAGGGUCGUGGAAUUCCCGGUGUAGCGGUGAAAUGCGUAGAUAUUGGGAGGAACACCGGUGGCGAAGGCGGCUCACUGGACCGGUACUGACGCUGAUGCGCGAAAGCGUGGGGAGCAAACGGG